UACAGAGGGUGCGAGCGUUUAAUCGGAAUCACUGGGCGUAAAGCGCACGUAGGCGGAUGUGCCAGUCAGGGGUGAAAUCCCGGAGCUCAACUUCGGAACUGCCUCUGAUACAGCACGUCUUGAGUCCGGAAGAGGUGGGUGGAAUUCCUAGUGUAGAGGUGAAAUUCGUAGAUAUUAGGAAGAACACCGGUGGCGAAGGCGGCCCACUGGUCCGGUACUGACGCUGAGGUGCGAAAGCGUGGGGAGCAAACAGG
rnacentral:rRNA from 1 species